rnacentral:lncRNA from 1 species
CACCAGCCUCACUUCACUGACUAUAUUCAGGCUAUCAUUCAAAGACUACAGACUAGUAGCCUACAAGAGCCCAAAUACUAGAAAUGUUGCUAGUACCAAAAUAUCUAUCCUGCUUCACCUUUUUACCUUUCUCAGACCAAUGGCCAUGUAUGUACAGAAGUGACUGGCGUGUCUAAUGGCCAAUUACUCUCCCUCUAAGGUUUUGCCCUGGGCAACACUAUUGAGUCUAAGACCAAAGGAAUCUGGAUGUGGUGUGUACCUCAUCCUUCUAAAGAAGGUAUGUAUUCUCACAGUCUCGGACACACACAUCCAUAGACACACUCUCGUACACACACAAACACACACACUCACAAAUAUGUAUGUACACAUGCACUCAUACAUAAUCAGAUACACAUGCAGCUUCAUUAUUACGUUUUUUAACAGGACACACACUGGUGCUGCUGGACACAGAGGGAUUGGGAGACGUGAACAAGGGAGACUCAAAGCACGACACGAAGAUCUUUGCUCUAGCCAUUCUGCUGAGCAGCACUCUGGUCUUCAACAGCCGAGGUACCAUUGAUAACAAGGCCAUAGAGGAGCUCCAGUAUCCUUUCUUUUCACCGUAGACAUGCCACCACAGUGCACAAUGCACUCAUAAAUUGUCCCAUUGUCACAUUUUCGUGUCCCAUUGUAUCUUUAGAUGGUUACGUUAGACCUGAAGCAGUUUUUGCUCACUCCUCAGUACUAACUCCUCAACCCUACGCAGAUAUGUUACAGAGCUUUCAAAUUAUAUAAAGGUCAAAUCAUCUGAUGAAGGAGAUGAUACAGAGUUUGUGAGGUUCUUCCCAAAUUUCAUCUGGGCUGUGAGGGACUUCACUCUGGAGCGAAAGAUUGACAGCAAGGAAGUGACAGAAGAUGAAUACCUAGAGUACGCCCUUCAGCUGAAGCCUGGUAUAUAUAGCUUAAAAGAACACAGAUGUACACAUUGCCUGUGUCAGAGUGUUCCUUUGUGAAUCUGUAGAAUAAUUCCUUUUAAUUCCUUUAAAGGGCGUUCGAGAAAUGUGAUGGAGUAUAACCUUCCAAGAGAGUGCAUCCGAAAUUAUUUUCCAUCUCGAAGGUGUUUCACAUUCCCAGUUCCGACUCAUCCAGACAAUAUGUCUCGUUUGGAGAGUUUGAAUCCAGAUGAGCUUUCACGUGAAUUUCUGAGGGUUGCAGAACAUUUCUGCAAGUUUGUUUUCAUGCAGUCUGAAGUGAAAUCGCUGAAAGACGGAUACGAGGUCAAUGGGAAAGGUGAGUUAGAGGGAUCAUUAUGGUGUGAUGCUUUGGUAAACAAAGUG